UACUCUGAUUCAGUUUCUGGACCACAUAGUCUUCAGAUUUCUUUCCUAUCCUGCAUCCCACAUAAGUUUGAUACAUCUUACUAGAAGAAAGGUAGACACUGGAACCAUGAAAGACUUGAAGGAAUACAGUGACAUGAGAAACAACCAGGUUUUCCAGUCCUUACUAAUGGUUCCCCUAGAAGAGGACAGACCACAUCCAAUCCAUCAAUAUAAGGAAACUUUCAGGUGCAACAUCGGAUUGUAUCAAGGGUGGGGCAAUAUAGGACAGAAGUCAGAAACGGAAAUGCAGUGCUGGCUAACUCAGUAUCUCCUGGAAGCUGCAACAGAAAUUCUCCCACUGUCCAGAAGAAGGGAUGUGAGGUGGGAGUGGAACUGCGUGGUUUGGAAUGACACUGGAGGCAGUGACCUGAUAAGCCUUAUGUAGGAGAGAAAUAACACAGACUGUGAGCUGCAACAGUAGCUUACUCUGACUUUGCACAAAUUAUUGAAUCUCAUUCUUUUUCUGACUUGUCAUGACGUCCAAGAAGAGUCUUACCUUCUUUAUUUUUGAAAAUAAUUUUCCUAUCUCCUGGGCAAUUGCUGAAGAGCCUGCCAUUGAUACUUUGAGAACUGUGUAGCAUAAUGUAUGUAUUGUAGACCUCCUUUUUAUUUACUGUCUGUUAUUCCAAAUUCAAAACAGAAUUAACUCAAAAUAAAC
ensembl:lncRNA